rnacentral:snRNA from 1 species
GUGCUGGUUUCAGCAGCACGUACACUAAAAUUGGAAUGAUAUGGAGAUUAGCAUGGCCAUAUGCAAAGAGGACCAGAAAUUCAUUCACCGUUCUAUAAUUUU